AGAGUUUGAUCCUGGCUCAGAUUGAACGCUGGCGGUAUGCUUAACACAUGCAAGUCGAACGGCAGCACGGUACGUAGCAAUACGUAUGGGUGGCGAGUGGCGGACGGGUGAGUAACACGUAGGAAUCUGCCCUAUAGAGGGGGAUAACUCGAGGAAACUCGAGCUAAUACCGCAUAGUCUCUACGGAGUAAAGCUGGGUUUACCUGGCGCUAUGGGAGGAGCCUGCGCCUGAUUAGCUAGUUGGUGGGGUAAAGGCCUACCAAGGCGACGAUCAGUAGGUGGUCUGAGAGGAUGAUCACCCACACUGGGACUGAGACACGGCCCAGACUCCUACGGGAGGCAGCAGUGGGGAAUAUUGGACAAUGGGGGCAACCCUGAUCCAGCAAUACCGCGUGUGUGAAGAAGGCCUUAGGGUUGUAAAGCACUUUAGGCGGGGAAGAAGGUAUGUAUUUUAAGAGAUAACAUAUUUGACGGUACCCGCAGAAUAAGCACCGGCUAACUCUGUGCCAGCAGCCGCGGUAAUACAGAGGGUGCGAGCGUUAAUCGGAUUUACUGGGCGUAAAGGGCGCGUAGGUGGUUAUGUAAGUGAGAUGU
rnacentral:rRNA from 1 species